rnacentral:rRNA from 1 species
UGUGAGCUCGAUGAGUAGGGCGGGACACGUGGUAUCCUGUCUGAAUAUGGGGGGACCAUCCUCCAAGGCUAAAUACUCCUGACUGACCGAUAGUGAACCAGUACCGUGAGGGAAAGGCGAAAAGAACCCCGGCGAGGGGAGUGAAAAAGAACCUGAAACCGUGUACGUACAAGCAGUGGGAGCACGCUUAGGCGUGUGACUGCGUACCUUUUGUAUAAUGGGUCAGCGACUUAUAUUCUGUAGCAAGGUUAACCGAAUAGGGGAGCCGAAGGGAAACCGAGUCUUAACUGGGCGUUAAGUUGCAGGGUAUAGACCCGAAACCCGGUGAUCUAGCCAUGGGCAGGUUGAAGGUUGGGUAACACUAACUGGAGGACCGAACCGACUAAUGUUGAAAAAUUAGCGGAUGACUUGUGGCUGGGGGUGAAAGGCCAAUCAAACCGGGAGAUAGCUGGUUCUCCCCGAAAGCUAUUUAGGUAGCGCCUCGUGAAUUCAUCUCCGGGGGUAGAGCACUGUUUCGGCAAGGGGGUCAUCCCGACUUACCAACCCGAUGCAAACUGCGAAUACCGGAGAAUGUUAUCACGGGAGACACACGGCGGGUGCUAACGUCCGUCGUGAAGAGGGAAACAACCCAGACCGCCAGCUAAGGUCCCAAAGUCAUGGUUAAGUGGGAAACGAUGUGGGAAGGCCCAGACAGCCAGGAUGUUGGCUUAGAAGCAGCCAUCAUUUAAAGAAAGCGUAAUAGCUCACUGGUCGAGUCGGCCUGCGCGGAAGAUGUAACGGGGCUAAACCAUGCACCGAAGCUGCGGCAGCGACGCUUAUGCGUUGUUGGGUAGGGGAGCGUUCUGUAAGCCUGUGAAGGUGUACUGUGAGGUAUGCUGGAGGUAUCAGAAGUGCGAAUGCUGACAUAAGUAACGAUAAAGCGGGUGAAAAGCCCGCUCGCCGGAAGACCAAGGGUUCCUGUCCAACGUUAAUCGGGGCAGGGUGAGUCGACCCCUAAGGCGAGGCCGAAAGGCGUAGUCGAUGGGAAACAGGUUAAUAUUCCUGUACUUGGUGUUACUGCGAAGGGGGGACGGAGAAGGCUAUGUUGGCCGGGCGACGGUUGUCCCGGUUUAAGCGUGUAGGCUGGUUUUCCAGGCAAAUCCGGAAAAUCAAGGCUGAGGCGUGAUGACGAGGCACUACGGUGCUGAAGCAACAAAUGCCCUGCUUCCAGGAAAAGCCUCUAAGCAUCAGGUAACAUCAAAUCGUACCCCAAACCGACACAGGUGGUCAGGUAGAGAAUACCAAGGCGCUUGAGAGAACUCGGGUGAAGGAACUAGGCAAAAUGGUGCCGUAACUUCGGGAGAAGGCACGCUGAUAUGUAGGUGAAGUGAUUUACUCAUGGAGCUGAAAUCAGUCGAAGAUACCAGCUGGCUGCAACUGUUUAUUAAAAACACAGCACUGUGCAAACACGAAAGUGGACGUAUACGGUGUGACGCCUGCCCGGUGCCGGAAGGUUAAUUGAUGGGGUCAGCGCAAGCGAAGCUCUUGAUCGAAGCCCCGGUAAACGGCGGCCGUAACUAUAACGGUCCUAAGGUAGCGAAAUUCCUUGUCGGGUAAGUUCCGACCUGCACGAAUGGCGUAAUGAUGGCCAGGCUGUCUCCACCCGAGACUCAGUGAAAUUGAACUCGCUGUGAAGAUGCAGUGUACCCGCGGCAAGACGGAAAGACCCCGUGAACCUUUACUAUAGCUUGACACUGAACAUUGAGCCUUGAUGUGUAGGAUAGGUGGGAGGCUU